CCUACGGGAGGCAGCAGUGAGGAAUAUUGGUCAAUGGGCGUACGCCUGAACCAGCCAAGUCGCGUGAGGGAAGACUGCCCUAUGGUUUGUAAACCUCUUUCGCCGGGGAGCAACGCCUGCCACUAGUAUCCGGAUGGACAUCACCUGAAUAAUUAGCAUCGGCUAACUCCGUGCCAGCAGCCGCGGUAAUACCGAGGAUGCGAGCGUGUUCCGGAUUUAUUGGGGUUAAAGGGUGCGUAGGGGGAGUCCAAAGUCAGCGGUAAAGUCGCGGGGCUCAACCCGGCACGGCGGUUGAAACUGGCGGACUUGAGUGGGCGAGGAGUAAGCGGAAUGCGUGGUGUAGCGGUGAAAUGCGUAGAUAUUACGCAGAACACCGAUUGCGAAGGC
rnacentral:rRNA from 1 species